ACGGGUGAGUAACACGUGGGUGAUCUGCCUCGCACUCUGGGAUAAGCCUGGGAAACUGGGUCUAAUACCGGAUAUGACCUUACAUCGCAUGGUGUUUGGUGGAAAGAUUUAUCGGUGCGAGAUGGGCCCGCGGCCUAUCAGCUUGUUGGUGGGGUAAUGGCCUACCAAGGCGACGACGGGUAGCCGGCCUGAGAGGGCGACCGGCCACACUGGGACUGAGACACGGCCCAGACUCCUACGGGAGGCAGCAGUGGGGAAUAUUGCACAAUGGGCGAAAGCCUGAUGCAGCGACGCCGCGUGAGGGAUGACGGCCUUCGGGUUGUAAACCUCUUUCGACAGGGACGAAGCGCAAGUGACGGUACCUGUAGAAGAAGCACCGGCCAACUACGUGCCAGCAGCCGCGGUAAUACGUAGGGUGCGAGCGUUGUCCGGAAUUACUGGGCGUAAAGAGCUUGUAGGCGGCUUGUCGCGUCGAUCGUGAAAACUUGGGGCUCAACCCCAAGCUUGCGGUCGAUACGGGCAGGCUUGAGUACUUCAGGGGAGACUGGAAUUCCUGGUGUAGCGGUGAAAUGCGCAGAUAUCAGGAGGAACACCGGUGGCGAAGGCGGGUCUCUGGGAAGUAACUGACGCUGAGAAGCGAAAGCGUGGGUAGCGAACAGGAUUAGAUACCCUGGUAGUCCACGCCGUAAACGGUGGGUACUAGGUGUGGGUUUCCUUCCACGGGAUCCGUGCCGUAGCUAACGCAUUAAGUACCCCGCCUGGGGAGUACGGCCGCAAGGCUAAAACUCAAAGGAAUUGACGGGGGCCCGCACAAGCGGCGGAGCAUGUGGAUUAAUUCGAUGCAACGCGAAGAACCUUACCUGGGUUUGACAUACACCGGAAACCUGCAGAGAUGUAGGCCCCCUUGUGGUCGGUGUACAGGUGGUGCAUGGCUGUCGUCAGCUCGUGUCGUGAGAUGUUGGGUUAAGUCCCGCAACGAGCGCAACCCUUAUCUUAUGUUGCCAGCGCGUAAUGGCGGGGACUCGUGAGAGACUGCCGGGGUCAACUCGGAGGAAGGUGGGGACGACGUCAAGUCAUCAUGCCCCUUAUGUCCAGGGCUUCACACAUGCUACAAUGGCCGGUACAGAGGGCUGCGAUACCGUGAGGUGGAGCGAAUCCCUUAAAGCCGGUCUCAGUUCGGAUCGGGGUCUGCAACUCGACCCCGUGAAGUUGGAGUCGCUAGUAAUCGCAGAUCAGCAACGCUGCGGUGAAUACGUUCCCGGGCCUUGUACACACCGCCCGUCACGUCAUGAAAGUCGGUAACACCC
rnacentral:rRNA from 1 species